rnacentral:lncRNA from 1 species
UACAAAAAAUAAAAACGCUAAUUUUAACGACGCUAACGCUUCCAGAUAAACCCUAAACCCUAAAUCUUAAAUUCUAAACCCAAAUCCAAACCCCUAAACCCAAACCCUAUACCCUAAACUCUAAUCCUAGACCCUAAACCCAAAUUAUAUACCCUAAACCCAAAAACUAGACUAUAAACCUAAACUCUAUACCCUAAACCCAAGUCGUAGAACCUAAACCCAAACCGUAAAUUUUAAACCCAAAUUAUAUACCCUAAACCCAAAACCUUAACCAU